rnacentral:rRNA from 1 species
GACGAACGCUGGCGGCGUGCCUAAUACAUGCAAGUUGAGCGCUGAAGGUUGGUACUUGUACCAACUGGAUGAGCAGCGAACGGGUGAGUAACGCGUGGGGAAUCUGCCUUUGAGCGGGGGACAACAUUUGGAAACCAAUGCUAAUACCGCAUAAAAACUUUAAACACAAGUUUUAAGUUUGAAAGAUGCAAUUGCAUCACUCAAAGAUGAUCCCGCGUUGUAUUAGCUAGUUGGUGAGGUAAAGGCUCACCAAGGCGAUGAUACAUAGCCGACCUGAGAGGGUGAUCGGCCACAUUGGGACUGAGACACGGCCCAAACUCCUACGGGAGGCAGCAGUAGGGAAUCUUCGGCAAUGGACGAAAGUCUGACCGAGCAACGCCGCGUGAGUGAAGAAGGUUUUCGGAUCGUAAAACUCUGUUGGUAGAGAAGAACGUUGGUGAGAGUGGAAAGCUCAUCAAGUGACGGUAACUACCCAGAAAGGGACGGCUAACUACGUG